AGGACGAACGCUUGCGGCGUGCCUAAGAAAUGCAAGUCGAGCGGAGGGAGCAAUCCCUUAGCGGCGAACGGUCGCGUAACACGUAGGCAACCUGCCCGAAAGACCGGGACAACGGUUCGAAAGAGCCGCUAAUACCGGAUGUGACCAGGGAGAGACCUCUCUUUCUGUUUAAAUCACUUGUGGCUUUCGGAGGGGCCUGCGGCCUAUCAGCUAGAUGGCGGGGUAACGGCUCACCAUGGCGACGACGGGUAGCUGGUCUGAGAGGAUGGUCAGCCGGACUGGGACUGAGAGACGGCCCAGACUCCUACGGGGGGCAGCAAUUAGGAAUCUUGCGCAAUGGGGGCAACCCUGACGCAGCGACGCCGCGUGGAGGAGGACGGCCUUCGGGUUGUAAACUCCUUUUGACGUAGGAAGAAACAAAUAGACGGUACUCGUCGAAUAAGCCCGCUAACUCCGUGCCAGCAGCCGC
rnacentral:rRNA from 1 species